GAACAGAAUUAAUUUAUUGUCAAUAUUGGCUACCAAGCUCUUUACUUAUUUACUUCUUCUUUGAUUUCUUUUACCAGUGUUUUUUUAGUUUUUGUUACCCUUUCUCCAUGUUUUUUUAGAUUAAGAAUUUAAUGUUUCUUGUGCUACUUUAAAUGUAACUUUAAAAAAUUCUAAUUUCCAAUUGUUCAUUAAUAGUGUUGUAAAGUAGCGGGUCCCCCACCAGGGAAUUUAAGGGCAUAUGUUGACUGCUUGAGUCCUGAAGGCUAGAUGGUGAGCAAAGUUCAUGGUGCUCAGCCGAGGAGCAGAUGUCCCUGAAAACCAAAACAUCCGGGAGCAUAUCUAGGUACAUACCAAGAAGAACAGUUUCAUCACAUGUAGUAAGCAAAGAGCCAGAAAAGUAGCUUUGGCCGGGCGCGGUGGCUCAUGCCUGUAAUCCCAGCACUUUGAGAGGCCAAGGCGGGCGGAUCACGAGGUCAGGAAAUCAAGACCAUCCUGGCUAACGUGGUGAAACCCCGUCUCUACUAAAAAUACAAAAGAUUAGCCGGGCGUGGUGGAAGGCGCCUAUAGUCCCAGCUACUCGGGAGGCUGAGGCAGGAGAAUGGCGUGAACCUGGGAGGCGGAGCUUGCAGUGAGCCGAGAUCCCGCCACUGCACUGCAGCCUGGGCGACAGAGCGAGACUCCGUCAAAGAAAAGAAAAGAAAAGAAGAAAGGAAAGGAAAGGAAAGGAAAGGAAAGGAAAGGAAAGGAAAGGAAAGGAAAGGAAAGGAAAGGAAAGGAAAGGAAAGGAAAGGAAAGGAAAGGAAAGGAAAGGAAAGGAAAGGAAAGGAAAGGAAAGGAAAGGAAACAGAAAAGAAAAGAAAAGAAAAAAGUAGCUUAAAAGCAGCUUAGAGGAAGAUGGUGGGCAGCAGGCGGAUCUCUGGAGUUAUCCCGCUGCCCUUUACGUGUUGAAAUUUCCAGGAUGCAAAACGAAGGGGCAAUUCAAAACAUUCAUCUCCACUUCUCAAAAACUCCUCAGCAUGUUACCUGAGCCUCUUAUCUGCUCCUUGAAGAUGACUGAAGCAGCUCCAUCUACCAAUUGACACACAUCAGGAUCUGCAAGAACAAGAACUCAAUCUUCCUUGUUUCUCUCUUAAAGCCCCACAAGAAAUCAUUUCCCUUGUAUCUCAUUGGCUGAAACUUUGCAGCAUGUUUGUUCCUAAAACAAAUAGCAAGAGGGCUAAAAGGUUCACAGUUAGCUAAAUUAGUCAAGAUUCACUUCUUUCAUCAGGAACUGGGAGGUCUCUUUCCUUAAAUUCCGUUGCUUUGUGAAUGAAUGUGGUUUUCGGAACAUAAGUCAUAGUCUCUAAACAGGGAAGAGGGAUGUCUAUUGGGUAGAUGACUGUAUACUGUCUACUGUUACUCUUAUACUUUAUUGAAUGCAUUUCCUUUUUUCUCUAUUUUUUAAUAUUUGCAUGGUGAGAGUGAAUUCAUUCAAUUGAUUUUAAUUUUAAAUAUAUAUUAAUGCAAAUUUUACAUAGCAAAAUGAAAGAAAUUUUUAGUUCAUUAGAUGCUGUGUCAUUGUAUUGUACUGAAUUUUCUCCUAAUUUUGUAAUUCUGAGGAUGACCCACAACCCAUCUUUUCUCAAACUCAAAUACAGACAUUACCCAAGACUCAUUAAUCAGAACCAAUGACAUUUUUGUCUGGUUUGUGUUUUCUUCUAGAUGUCAAAUUGACAUGUAAGGAUUAACAUAUCCACAAAACAAACUUUAUCAAACUAGGCUGCCCAUUUCUAUGUUCUGUCCUCUGUAAUACAUCAUUUACAUUUUGCUUUAUUGAUUUUUAUUUAGCAUAAUACUUUUGGCAGUGGUGGUGGCCUGUGUGUACAUGUAUGUACAUACAUGUGCUAAAUGUACACAUUUAAUUACAUAUAUGUGAUUUAUGUUAUAUAAUUAUAUAAUUUAUAUAAUUUAAAUUUUAUAAUUAUAUAAUUUAUGUAAUUAUAUAAUAUAAUUUACAUUUUAUAAAUCUAAUAUAAUUUAUAUAAUUUAUAUAAUAUAAUAUAAUUUAUGAAAUUUAUAUAAUUAUAAUACAUACACUUUUAUAUAAUAUAAAUAUUAAUAACUAUUAAUAUUUAUUAAUAGUUAUUAAUAAAUAUUAAAUAAAUACUAAUAACUAUUUCAAAUGCUUUAAAAUAUUUGAAAUAACCUGUAUAUAGAAUUAGACUUAGAUAUCUAACCCUUAUAUAGGAUUAGGCUUGGAUAUCCCAGACAUCCAAAUAGAAUCCUAUAUACAGAUUAGAUAUUCAAAUAUUUUGAAGAAUUACUUCGAUUUUUACAACCUUGGUUAACUCUUCCUUCCUAUGAGAUGGUAUGAUGUAAUUUUUACUACUUUUAUUAUACUGUUUGCCUGCUGUGUGCUGUAGCUAUUCAUAUACUAAAAUUGUUACUCCUACCACAUACACUGUGAUAGUAAAAGCACAGCUAACACUUACAUAAUGUGUAAUUUCCUUAGUAUUUUCGAUGUUACCAUAAUUUUUUGCAAUGCUAAUUAGUAUUUUAUGAUAAAGUACGCUUAAAGAAAUGUGGAGAAUCCUAGUCUAGAAAAAAUAGUUGAGCCUGUAAAAGCUGAUAUGCCACAUGCCACUCCAAGUGGAAUGGAGAUAGUAUGCUGCAUUUCCCAAACAUGUUUGGCCAGGAAUCACUUGUGGUUAUACUCAUAGAAUUACUAGUAUUCUGUGAAACACAUUAGGUGAAUAUAAGUAUUGUGAUUUGUAAUGCAUGCAAUGCUUUAGGAAUAAAUAUCAUUUCAUUUUCACAAAACAUUUGAAGUAAGUAGAUCAAUAAUUGUUAGUAUUCUCAUUCUAUAGAUGACAAGGUUGAUGUAAAAAAUGUGGCACAAGAUUCAUUGGAAAUUCAAAAUAAAAUGUCCUCAACUUUGACUAAA
rnacentral:lncRNA from 1 species